rnacentral:tRNA from 2 species
GGAGAAUUAGCUCAGCUGGGAGAACAUCUGCCUUACAAGCAGAGGGUCGGCGGUUCGAACCCGUCAUUCUCCACCA